ACGAACGCUGGCGGCGUGCUUAACACAUGCAAGUCGAACGAGAAAGUCCUUCGGGAUGAGUAGAGUGGCGCACGGGUGAGUAAAGAAUAGGAACAUACCUAUGGGUGAGGAAUAACUGCGGGAAACUGCGGCUAAUACCACAUAAGAUCUUCGGAAGAAAGAGGGCCUAUGCUUGCAAGCUCUCGCCGAUAGAGUGGCCUAUUUCCCAUUAGCUAGUUGGUAGGGUAAGAGCCUACCAAGGCGACGAUGGGUAGCUGGUCUGAGAGGAUGAUCAGCCACACUGGAACUGAGACACGGUCCAGACUCCUACGGGAGGCAGCAGUGGGGAAUCUUGCACAAUGGGGGCAACCCUGAUGCAGCAACGCCGCGUGAGUGAAGAAGGCCCUUGGGUCGUAAAGCUCUUUCGGCUAGGAAGAAGGGGUUCCUGGAGAAACACAGGAGCUUUGACGGUACUAGAAGAAGAAGCACUGGCUAAUUCCGU
rnacentral:rRNA from 1 species